rnacentral:piRNA from 1 species
UGUAAAAUGGACUGAAAUGUUAC